AGUUUUACUUAACGAGCCCAAAGAAAUUUUAAUAUUUCAGUUUCGACCCCAUUUGAUCACCGAAAACUAUACCGAACCGUAAUUUUUAUCAGAUAGCUGUCGGAUUUUAUUUUCCACCUUCCGAGUGUCAGAAUGAUAUGAAACUUUAAAUCUAGCCUCAUCAAAAAAAUUCUGGCUUAUCCUCCAGUUUUCAUAAUUUUCUGAGACUGUGCAUUUUCUACUAAUUUAUCUGUCCCGUUUCCAACAGAAAAUUCUAAAUCUUCUGUUUUCAUUCCGAUUUCAGCACAAGUCACUUCUGACGUAUGUUUUAUUUCUCUAAAUCCAAUAAAAAUAGUUUCUCACACUAUUUUUAUUUAUUUUUAUUUUUAUACCAAAAUCUGGUAUGUUACAAUGAUGGUGCCCUAG
rnacentral:lncRNA from 1 species